AUGAAUUGUUACAGACGGAAAAAAGGAAAAAGAGACAUUUUCCUUAGAGAAAAAGAUGUUUUGCUUCCAAAUAAAAAGUGAUUAUCCUUUUGCUAAUGAAAAAGAAAAAAAAAAAAACUGUAGACGCAACAAGCAAACUGCCACCGCCCACCUCACUCACCCUCGGAGAACACCUCCCAGGGCUGUGAUCAUGGUGGACACAUGGCCAAAGAGUUUUCUCUGAUUACAGCGGGAGGGAGGGCUUAGCAGACCCUCAGCAUUCUCCUCAAGAGUCCUCACUAAUCACAUCCAGUUUCUCUAAGAUCAUGACAUGGGAGAGGCCACACUCAGACAGAACCGAUCGACCGCACGGUGGACAGAAUAGACGGGCUGUAGCUUGAACUCAUUCUUAAAUGCACACGUUGAAUUAGACAGGCGCUGCCUGAAACUGUUCUCAUUAGCAGCCUGCCAAGCUUGCCUGCUGAUGGGAUAUAGGGGUUAUCUAAGUUUCACUGAAGUGUUUAUUUCUUUAAUGAGAUGUGUGUGUAUGUGUUUACUAUUAUUCGAUUUUUUAAUCUCUCCGAUGUUAUAGCAGAGGGUAUUGCCUCUGUUGGAUGGCAUCACUGACUCGAUGGACAUGAGGGUGAGCAAGGUCUGGGAGUUGGUGAUGGAUGGGGAAGCCUGGCGGUGGUGCAGUCCAUGGGGUCACAAAGAGUUGGACACGACUGAGCGAGUGAACUGGACUGAUUGCCUCUGUAUCGCAAAUCGUUCCCAUCAGCAGAUUGUCUGCUAAUUAGUGCGUCAUCUUCCAGGGGCACUGUUCAAAGAGUUAUGAAUCUCCAUUUGAAGGGAAAAAAAGCUCUUCAAGGACUCUAUAUCCGAGACUAAGAAAACAAGAGAUAUAAAGUAAAAAACAAAAAGAAGCAAACCGAGAAACGAGGUGUAAACGGCUGCUGAGGCUUUGUCCUUUUCCUGCUUUGCAGGUAUUCUGGCUCUGACAGGGUCUUCCUCCCCCCAGCUUUCUGGAAAAUUUCGUAUUCCGGGCACCUCCUCUUUGGACAAGGGUGUCUUGUGUCUUCGAGUCCAGCUGGAGAGCCUGCCAGGCAAAUAGCACAGGCCAUUCAGUCCCGGAGCGGCUUUAUAUAUGCACGGCGGAAGCCAAGGCCAAAGCGUGUUCAUCGUCCCAGACGUGCUGGUUCCAGGCAGCCUGGCGAGUUCAGACGCGGCGAUCGGAUGCUGGGGACUCAGGUGCUGGCACGUGAUUUAUGCGAAGUAACAUCUUGGAACAAAGACCGCCUCCCCCAUCACGGCACUGCUGCCCAAACCAGGCUUGGACCCACAAAACGAUUCCGGUAUAUAUGACAUCAUUUCACUGGAAGUCAACACAGGUGUGUGUGUAGCUGUGCGUGUCAACAUAAUUACAUCAGAACAUUCACAGUUGAUCGCUUCUCUUUGAAGGAGGUAAGAAAAUGCCCACAUAGUUACUUUUCCUUUUUUUAAAAAAAAAAAUUUCUUUUUUUACUGAAGGAUAAUGGCUUUACAGAAUUUUGCUGUUUUCUGUGAAACCUCACCA
ensembl:lncRNA